ACACAUGCAAGUCGAACGGUAACAGGAAGCAGCUUGCUGCUUCGCUGACGAGUGGCGGACGGGUGAGUAAUGUCUGGGAAACUGCCUGAUGGAGGGGGAUAACUACUGGAAACGGUAGCUAAUACCGCAUAACGUCGCAAGACCAAAGAGGGGGACCUUCGGGCCUCUUGCCAUCGGAUGUGCCCAGAUGGGAUUAGCUAGUAGGUGGGGUAACGGCUCACCUAGGCGACGAUCCCUAGCUGGUCUGAGAGGAUGACCAGCCACACUGGAACUGAGACACGGUCCAGACUCCUACGGGAGGCAGCAGUGGGGAAUAUUGCACAAUGGGCGCAAGCCUGAUGCAGCCAUGCCGCGUGUAUGAAGAAGGCCUUCGGGUUGUAAAGUACUUUCAGCGGGGAGGAAGGCGAUAAGGUUAAUAACCUUGUCGAUUGACGUUACCCGCAGAAGAAGCACCGGCUAACUCCGUGCCAGCAGCCGCGGUAAUACGGAGGGUGCAAGCGUUAAUCGGAAUUACUGGGCGUAAAGCGCACGCAGGCGGUCUGUCAAGUCGGAUGUGAAAUCCCCGGGCUCAACCUGGGAACUGCAUUCGAAACUGGCAGGCUAGAGUCUUGUAGAGGGGGGUAGAAUUCCAGGUGUAGCGGUGAAAUGCGUAGAGAUCUGGAGGAAUACCGGUGGCGAAGGCGGCCCCCUGGACAAAGACUGACGCUUCAG
rnacentral:rRNA from 1 species